CUGCUGCCUUCCGUAGGAGUUUGGGCCGUGUCUCAGUCCCAAUGUGGCCGUUCACCCUCUCAGGCCGGCUACUGAUCGUUGCCUUGGUAGGCGUUACCCUUCCAACUAGCUAAUCAGACGCGGGUCCAUCCUUUUUGCGAUAGCAUCUUCAGAGGCCAUCUUUCCUUAAAGAAUCAUGCGAUCCUCUAUUAUUAUGCGGUAUUAGCUCCGAUUUCUCGAAGUUGUUCCCACAAAAGGGCAGGUUACCCACGCGUUACU
rnacentral:rRNA from 1 species